CUCCUUUGACGUUAGCGGCGGACGGGUGAGUAACACGUGGGUAACCUACCUAUAAGACUGGGAUAACUUCGGGAAACCGGAGCUAAUACCGGAUAAUAUUUCGAACCGCAUGGUUCGAUAGUGAAAGGUGGUUUUGCUACCACUUAUAGAUGGACCCGCGCCGUAUUAGCUAGUUGGUAAGGUAACGGCUUACCAAGGCGACGAUACGUAGCCGACCUGAGAGGGUGAUCGGCCACACUGGAACUGAGACACGGUCCAGACUCCUACGGGAGGCAGCAGAC
rnacentral:rRNA from 1 species